rnacentral:lncRNA from 9 species
AUGCUCUCCCAGCUCUCCACCGCCCUGGUGACUUCCUCACGCUGGGGCCACCGGCCUUUCUGGUUCCCCUUCGGCAAAUACACUCCUCUCCUCCAGAGACCGAUUUCCACGGAAUCCAUGGCCACAGGGCGCCUUCUAGAGAGGCUGUCUGUCGAGCAGGGUGUGGCAGAAAGGAGGCACAGUCUCAGGAUGACGUUAGAAAUGGGAACAAGACACAGAGACAGCAGAAGAGCCCGUGAACAUGCCAAGUGUUUGAGAACAUUUCUAUUGGUGGAGGGACAGACCUCAGAAAGAUCAGGAGGCCAGACACAGAGCACCUGCUGUGUGCCAGGCUUGAGGCAAAGUGCUGGAGGGGUCGGGGGUCAGAUGGCACCUUGUCUCCAGGGCGUUUGCAGCCUCUCAGUGCACAGAGAAUCACACCAAACAAGAGCACAGCAAAGAACGGAGCAUACGGGCGCACGUCACCAGGGAAAACCAUCCUGUACUGAGCUGGAAACGGUCCCGAGAGAUGACGUCUCGACAAGCAGAAACAGUGACCUACGGGCAUCAGAAAAGCGUCAGAAAAAUCCAGAAAAGGCACCCGCAGCGCUACCUCUAGGAAAAACAAGGGCGACCUUCGGCUCAUCUUUCCUUUGCACUUGUUAAGUGUAGACCCACUUGUACAAAAGCAAUUACUCUCCGUCCUGGGUUUCUCGUCCACUUACCAGUUUCUACCUCAGGUCUAUCCCCAUGUUUCUAAGUAGAAUUUUAAUCAUGACAAAACACCCUUUCAGGUGGCUGCUUCACAAUUUCCCUAAAGGCAUUGAAAUUGUUACACUUUUUCCAAAAAUAAAAUGAGUCACUGUCAUCACAUAUACCGUCUCUGUCUUGUUUGUUUGUUUUGUUUUGCGGAGCCCAUGGCCGUGCAAGUUCCCAGGCUAGGAAUCGAGUCCUCGCCAACAGCAGCCAUAAUAGGGGAUCCUUACCUGCUGCGCCCCCAGGGCACGCCUGUGUCUUCUGUCUCGGUCGCUCUCAGUUUCAGGGGUCUGUGACCUUCUCCUUAAAGGCUGGAAUUCAGUUCUCCACCCAUUAUGAUCUGAACAUCGUGAGUUUCCCAUGUCCCACCCCCACCCUCAUCCUCACCCCAGCGAGCUUGGCAAAAUGUUUCUCCCAACACGUGCGCUCUGUGCUCCGGUUGGGGGGCAAUUCGAGCAAAUUGAAAAAAUU